AUUACCGUGGUAGAAUAUUACGUUAGACUUAGGAUUUAACCAUGUGCUUAUUGCGCGGGUAAUA
rnacentral:tRNA from 1 species